rnacentral:rRNA from 1 species
CGUUUCUUUGUUUCACAGGGCUUUCCUUGCACCACUCGUUCUAAAGCUGGAUUCCAAAUCAAUCAUUACCAAGCAAGGAGCUUAAAGGUUAAAGCAAAGAUGGAUUCUGGUGAUGGGGAGACACAACUCGCUCCAGUUAAAUUCGAAACCCCAAGUGGUCAACUUCUGGCACAGAUACUGCAAUCGCAGCCUCACCUAAUCCCUGUAACAGUUGAUCAGCAACUUGAAAACCUGACAGCAGAGAAAAUUGCCCAAAAGGAAAAAGCCGCAAAAGUUCCCGAGGACCUCCUUUACAAGCGAAUUGCAGAAGUCAAAGAGAAGGAAAGGCAGAAUACCCUGGAAGAGAUCAUCUACUGCUGGAUUUUGUUCAAGUUCAUGGAAAAUGACAUACAAAUGACACCUGCAUUAUCAUCAUCAGGUGGCCCUGUACGCGACGUCUCCUCGUUGCCUAACCAGGAGUAUAAGCUGCAAAGCGUACACUCUCAAGAUGCUCUUGAGAUGAUACAGAACCAUCUCAACCUUAUCAUGGGGGAGCAGGCAGCAGCGCCACUAGAUACCGUUGUCGAGAUCAGCAACUUAAAUCUUGGGAAGCUCUACGCAGCAUCCAUCAUGUAUGGUUACUUCCUCAAGAGGGUGGACGAGCGAUUCCAACUCGAGAAAACCAUGAAGACGCUCCCACCAAGCCUCAACGAAAAACUAUUUACGGAGAGAGACAUUAAGCCUAAUCCGUUCAUGGACAUGGAGUCCCUGGUACGGAUGACGCCUGAUGGGGAGAUGGUUGAUGUGGAGGAGGACGAGGAAACAAACCCAAACAAGCUGAGGUCCUACGUUUCGCGGCUGGACGCCGAUACGUUGCAGCGGUACGCUACCAUUAGGUCCAAGGAAUCGGUCUCGCUGAUAGAGAAGCAAACGCAGGCUCUGUUUGGUCGGCCGGAUAUCAAAGUGCUGGAUGAUGGCUCUGUUAAUGCUAAAGAUGGUAAAACGGUAACGCUUACGUUCACGGAGCUCACACACCUUGUCCUGGAGGCGGCUGGUUUUGGGGCCUUUUUGUGGGAGGCUGAGAGCCAUGUAGAAUCCAAGUACCAUUUUGUUAACAGUUGA